AAAGAUUUCAGUUUCCGACCAA
rnacentral:siRNA from 1 species